UCAUAUUAUGAAAGAGAAUGAGAGGCUAAGGAAGAAAGCACAACUUCUCAACCAAGAGAAUCAAGCACUGCUCUCUGAACUCAAGCAGAAGCUUUCAAAGGCUAACAACAACAACAACACCAAUGAUGAUCCUAGCACCACUCUUGAUCUCAGUGUUGGAUCAACCUCAUUCUCUCAUCAGAAAAAAGCUUCCAGUUCCAGAAAUUAAUUAAUUAAUUAACCAACUGAGAGGCUUUUUUUUUUUUUCUUUUUUGGGGGUACAGUAAUGGUUGUAGUCUCUGUUCCAUAGGAAAACGAACACUAGCAUGCAUUUUCUCUGUCAGAGGUACUAUAAUUAAUUUCUUGUUAUAUUUCAAUGCAUUCAUCAUAUCUUUUGUAUUAGGGGUUCGGUUCGGAUAUGCAUGUGAAUUCUUGAUGUUAUUAUUAUGUUGAUGGAAAGGAAAAUAAUAUAUAAUUACAACGCUUUGUGUU
rnacentral:lncRNA from 1 species